GGUGAGGGUAAUGUCCAGUACAGCUUUGACAUGGGUCUUUAAAUCUCUCAGGUCAGAUGCCUACCUGUUCUUGGCAACUAAUUUGCUAAAAGAAUGUCAAUUAGUUCACUUCUCUAUUUUCUCAUUUUCUCAAAAUCGUUCAUGUUUCCUGUCUUCUAAAGUCAGCCUGACCUGAAUGGCUUCUUUUGGAAUUAUUAACUUAAAGUCCAUUUCUAUGAGCCCAUCUGGAUGGUUUUUCCUCUAGCAGUCCCACAGAUUUGCUCUCUUAUCAAUAAACUCUCCCUAUUUCAUGCAUCACUCUAUUAUUUUAUUUUAUAUUAUUUAAACCUAUUUAUUUAAACAUACACACAAAAAAAACUUACUGAGAAACUGGGUUAGUCAUACGUUACUGUUGGGAAGAUUGUGAAAUGGUACAACUGCUCUGGAAAACCACUUGGGGGUUGCUUUAAAAACUAGUCACAGCCCCACCCCUCCUGAGUGACAGUCAUACUUGGAAGGAGGGCAGGGUCACAGUACCUCCCACAGCCUCUUGUUCCCUGUUCUAGAAGAGGUCAGACAAAUGUUUGUGGAGAAUUUAAAGGUCUCAGUGAGGAAGGAAUUUCCUUAUGAGCAGCAGCUUCCAUUUCUUAGAGUUUGCAGUGGCAUGCAUGCAAUUAAAUCUUGCAACUUCCUUACUACCAGAUGGCACUGGUACAUAAUGAACAUCCUUGUCCUCAUACUAUUCGUGUUCAAGAUCUGCAGGUUGGACCUAGCUCUUAGGAAUGGACACACCGACAACCAGGUAACUCUGAUGGUCAUCAGAUACAUAAAUAAAAGAGGCAACAGCAAACCAGUAAUAGCAAUAGAAAACAACAGAGGAAAUGAAUAUAACCAUUCAUUUCACUUUCAUUCUGAAAAUGUUUGAAUGAAAAGUAUUAAUAUGAUGUUUGCAAAAAUUUAGUAAACAGAAAUCUCAAUUAAAUAGAGUUGGGAGAUCAGAGGGGAAGCUCUCAUAUCCUGCAAGGAUAGCAGCGACCAAUGGGGAAAAGAAAAAUUCAUCUUCUUUCCUGGCAAGGACUCUCCCAAUGAAAUCCUAAGGCCUGUUUGUUUACCAGUGGCCUUCCAACUUCCUUUUUCCCUUUAUAAAAGUGUUCUCCUUCCCUUGCUGUGUGGGGACUUGUACAUGGCUCACCAUGGCUACGAACCCUGAAUUGCAGUUCUCUGUUGAUUCCAAAUAAACCCAUCUUUGUUGAAGAAAUAUCUGGCCA
rnacentral:lncRNA from 1 species